GGAUGUGAGGGCGAUCUGGCUGCGACAUCUGUCACCCUGUCCUUGUCAUCUGUCAUUGAUCUCCAGGGUUGAUUCGGCUGAUCUGGCUGCCUAGGCGGGUGUCAUCUUCCUGCCUCACAGCUUCAUGUGCGUCCCUCCCUAAGCCGUAUGCUUGGAUGAAGAGGACCACCAUCCCGAUAGAGGAGGAUUGUUCUGCUCGGCCAAGGGUGUAGGAGUAGCUGCGCUCCCCGCCAGCCCCUCCUGACAAGCUCUCAAGAAUAGAGGCCCCGGGGGCAGGCUCCUUGGGUUCAGGUCCUGGCUCUGCCCAUCACUGGCACUGGUC
rnacentral:snRNA from 1 species